rnacentral:rRNA from 1 species
UGGGGAAUAUUGCACAAUGGGCGCAAGCCUGAUGCAGCGACGCCGCGUGGGGGAUGACGACCUUCGGGUUGUAAACUCCUUUCGCCAGGGACGAAGCGUUUUGUGACGGUACCUGGAGAAGAAGCACCGGCUAACUACGUGCCAGCAGCCGCGGUAAUACGUAGGGUGCAAGCGUUGUCCGGAAUUACUGGGCGUAAAGAGCUCGUAGGUGGUUUGUCACGUCGUCUGUGAAAUUCCACAGCUUAACUGUGGGCGUGCAGGCGAUACGGGCUGACUUGAGUACUGUAGGGGUAACUGGAAUUCCUGGUGUAGCGGCGAAAUGCGCAGAUAUCAGGAGGAACACCGAUGGCGAAGGCAGGUUACUGGGCAGUUACUGACGCUGAGGAGCGAAAGCAUGGGUAGCAAACAGGAUUAGAUACCCUGGUAGUCCAUGCCGUAAACGGUGGGCGCUAGGUGUAGGGACCUUUUGGGGUUUCUGUGCCGUAGCUAACGCAUUAAGCGCCCCGCCUGGGGAGUACGGCCGCAAGGCUA